UACGAAGGGAGCGAGCGUUGUUCGGAAUCACUGGGCGUAAAGCGUGCGUAGGCGGUUUUAUAAGUCAGAAGUGAAAGCCUGGGGCUCAACCUCAGAAUUGCUUUUGAGACUGUAAAGCUAGAAUCCUGGAGAGGUUAGUGGAAUUCCGAGUGUAGAGGUGAAAUUCGCAGAUAUUCGGAGGAACACCAGUGGCGAAGGCGACUAACUGGACAGGCAUUGACGCUGAGGCACGAAAGCGUGGGGAGCAAACAGG
rnacentral:rRNA from 1 species